AACGAACGUUGGCGGCGUGCCUAAUACAUGCAAGUCGAGCGAGAAACGGGUAGCAAUACCCGGAGUACAGCGGCGAAAGGGUGCGUAACACAUGAAGAACGUACCCUCCAGUUCGGGAUAACACCGCGAAAGCGGUGCUAAUACCGGAUGCCGCCGCGGUGACGCCUGUCGCUGCGGUGAAAGUCGUAAGACGCUGGAGUGAGCGCUUCAUGGCCUAUCAGCUAGUUGGCGGGGUAAUGGCCCACCAAGGCUUUGACGGGUAGCCGGACUGAGAGGUCGACCGGCCACACGGGGACUGAGACACGGCCCCGACAUCUACGGAUGGCAGCAGUAGGGAAUAUUGCGCAAUGGGCGAAAGCCUGACGCAGCGACGCCGCGUGGGGAUGAAGGCC
rnacentral:rRNA from 1 species